rnacentral:tRNA from 1 species
GCCGUUGUAGCUCAGUUGGUAGAGCGUCACCAUGGUAAGGUGAAGGUCUCGGGUUCGAUUCCCGACAACGGCU